rnacentral:rRNA from 1 species
UACGUAGGGCGCAAGCGUCGUCUGGAAUUAUUGGGCGUAAAGAGCUCGUAGGUGGCUUGUCGCGUCUGCCGUGAAAUCCCGUGGCUUAACUGCGGGUCUGCGGUGGAUACGGGCAGGCUAGAGGCUGGUAGGGGCAAGCGGAAUUCCUGGUGUAGCGGUGAAAUGCGCAGAUAUCAGGAGGAACACCGGUGGCGAAGGCGGGUCUCUGGGCCGACAUUGACGCUGAGGAGCGAAAGCGCGGGGAGCGAACAGG